UAGCAUAUCAAUAAGCGGAGGAAAAGAAACCAACAGGGAUUGCCCUAGUAACGGCGAGUGAAGCGGCAACAGCUCAAAUUUGAAAUCUGGCUUCGGCCCGAGUUGUAAUUUGCAGAGGAAGCUUUAGGCGCGGCACCUUCUGAGUCCCCUGGAACGGGGCGCCAUAGAGGGUGAGAGCCCCGUAUAGUUGGAUGCCUAGCCUGUGUAAAGCUCCUUCGACGAGUCGAGUAGUUUGGGAAUGCUGCUCAAAAUGGGAGGUAAAUUUCUUCUAAAGCUAAAUACCGGCCAGAGACCGAUAGCGCACAAGUAGAGUGAUCGAAAGAUGAAAAGCACUUUGAAAAGAGGGUUAAAUAGCACGUGAAAUUGUUGAAAGGGAAGCGCUUGUGACCAGACUUGCGCCGGGCGGAUCAUCCGGUGUUCUCACCGGUGCACUCCGCCCGGCUCAGGCCAGCAUCGGUUCUCGCGGGGGGAUAAAGGUCCUGGGAACGUAGCUCCUCCGGGAGUGUUAUAGCCCGGGGCGUAAUGCCCUCGCGGGGACCGAGGUUCGCGCAUCUGCAAGGAUGCUGGCGUAAUGGUCAUCAGCGACCCGUCUUGAAACACGGACCAAGGAGUCAAGGUUUUGCGCGAGUGUUUGGGUGUAAAACCCGCACGCGUAAUGAAAGUGAACGUAGGUGAGAGCUUCGGCGCAUCAUCGACCGAUCCUGAUGUUUUCGGAUGGAUUUGAGUAGGAGCGUUAAGCCUUGGACCCGAAAGAUGGUGAACUAUGCUUGGAUAGGGUGAAGCCAGAGGAAACUCUGGUGGAGGCUCGCAGCGGUUCUGACGUGCAAAUCGAUCGUCAAAUCUGAGCAUGGGGGCGAAAGACUAAUCGAACCAUCUAGUAGCUGGUUACCGCCGA
rnacentral:rRNA from 1 species